AGCGAACGCUGGCGGCAUGCUUAACACAUGCAAGUCGCACGGUUCGGGGGAGACUCCGGGCAGUGGCGGACGGGUGAGGAACGCGUAGGAAUCUGUCCUGGGGUGGGGGAUAACUGUGGGAAACUGCAGCUAAUACCGCAUGUGGCCUGAGGGUCAAAGGCGCCGAUGCGAGUUGGUGGUGCCUUGGGGGGAGCCUGCGUCCGAUUAGCUAGUUGGUGGGGUAAAGGCUUACCAAGGCGGCGAUCGGUAGCUGGUCUGAGAGGAUGAUCAGCCACACU
rnacentral:rRNA from 1 species